GACGAACCGUGCGAACGUUGUUCGGAAUCACUGGGCUUAAAGGGCGCGUAGGCGGGCAGUCAAGUCAGGGGUGAAAUCCCGCGGCUCAACCGCGGAAGUGCCUUUGAUACUGGCUGUCUGGAGGGAGGUAGGGGCGUGCGGAACUUCCGGUGGAGCGGUGAAAUGCGUAGAUAUCGGAAGGAACGCCGGUGGCGAAAGCGGCGCGCUGGACCUCUUCUGACGCUGAGGCGCGAAAGCCAGGGGAGCAAACGGG
rnacentral:rRNA from 1 species